UGGGCGUUUUCCCGCCCCUUUUUCUGUUUGUGAGAAACUCUGCUGUUUGUGCCUCAGAGAUGAGCUGUUUCUUCUGUGGAUAUUUGGUUAAAAUUCACUUAAAAAUUAGUUUUUACAGUGAAAUACAGCAGAAACUGAGCCACAGAAGGAAUAUUAGCAGGAAUAUUGGCGUUAUUUUAUUAAAAGCUGCGUUUUUGAGAGCUUUUCAGUCGUUAGCUUCGUUCCUAACUGAGAUUUUUUGAGGGUUGUCAGCGAGCACCAGAUGGCAAGCCAGCUAACCACGUGAUUCUGUGGCAGCAAGAAUAAAGCAAGAGACAGAGAGCUUCAAGGUCAGGGACUUCUACUGGCUGCAAUCACCGGUGCUGCAUCGUUCCUGAAGAACAAGAAUGCACACCCACCACUUCCAACAAAUUGCCUCUGAGCUGACUCCUGACCUGAGCUUGAAGUAAUUGAUAAGGACCCCUGAAUGACU